rnacentral:rRNA from 1 species
GUUAUCCGGAUUCACUGGGUUUAAAGGGUGCGUAGGUGGGCAGGUAAGUCAGUGGUGAAAUCUCCGGGCUUAACCCGGAAACUGCCGUUGAUACUAUCUGUCUUGAAUGUAGUGGAGGUGAGCGGAAUAUGUCAUGUAGCGGUGAAAUGCUUAGAUAUGACAUAGAACACCCAUUGCGAAGGCAGCUCGCUACACUAUUAUUGACACUGAGGCACGAAAGCGUGGGGAUCAAACAGG